rnacentral:rRNA from 1 species
CGGCGUAAAGAACUUGCCUCACAGCUAGGGACAACAUUUAGAAAUGAAUGCUAAUACCUGAUAUUAUGAUUUUAAGGCAUCUUAGAAUUAUGAAAGCUAUAAGCACUGUGAGAGAGCUUUGCGUCCCAUUAGCUAGUUGGAGAGGUAACAGCUCACCAAGGCGAUGAUGGGUAGCCGGCCUGAGAGGGUGAACGGCCACAAGGGAACUGAGACACGGCCCUU